GUCUUUCGAUUCCCUUCUCGCAAAGCCCGACCGAUCGAUGAUAUAUUGAUAGGAGGGCGCAGCGGGGCCGCGAACGCACCCCGCCCGCAUCCUCCGCAUCCGAAAGCGCGCUGCGGCGCCGAGGUCCGUGUGCCCCCCCACCCAGCGGAGGGCAACGACGCACGGCAACCAUCCGAAUGCCCGCCGCACAACUAUAUCCCCGAAGCCCGGGGGCUGCCGGGGCAUGUGCGGCCGGGUGCAGACCUCAAUCCACCAGUGCCGGUACCCCGAAACCUGCACAGGGUAGGAAGCACAGGCAACACAUACACAGACCGCGAGGGAGGAGCUUAAGCCCGGACCUCCGGCCAACAACGCAAAGGCGCACUCCCUUGACGGUUGGCUGCAGGAA
rnacentral:misc_RNA from 1 species